UAAACCUGCCUCUUAGCGGGGGGUAACUAUUGGAAACGAUAGCUAAUACCGCAUAAAAGUCGACAUCGCAUGAUGUUGACUUGAAAGGUGCAAUUGCAUCACUAAGAGAUGGACCUGCGUUGUAUUAGCUAGUUGGUGAGGUAACGGCUCACCAAGGCGACGAUACAUAGCCGACCUGAGAGGGUGAUCGGCCACACUGGGACUGAGACACGGCCCAG
rnacentral:rRNA from 1 species